UAUGUCCCUCAAAAACCAGCAGUUGAAAAAUGAUAUCGUGAGCCUGUCCCACAACACCCAGAGGAAGCUCCACUCCCAGGAGCUCCAAAAUGCCCAGGAUCAGAAGUGAGGAGCUGGCUGCUCUACUUUGAAGGGCUCUGACAAACUGAAGAUGUAUGGCUUGACAGAGGAAGACGGUUCCCCAGGGCUGAGUCCUUGGAGCGAAGGUCUAUAGUGCCAGGACUUCCCUCACCUCUCUGCUUCUUGCCCCUAUUUCUUGUUGUCCAUAAGAGGAGAGUGGCCUCUGGUCAAUGCCCCUACUGUCAUGAUAAUCUGCUCCAUAAAGAACCAGAACAGGCCAAGCAAAAGAUUAGAGUUUGUGCCCUCUGAAAUAAAAAAACUAAAAUAAC